ensembl:lncRNA
AGAUUUAAGGAAAUUAAACACUUACCUACAACCUCGUCGAUUCCGGAUGGUCACACUGGAAUCCAUCAUCCACCUGUUGAGGAAAGGAGAUUGGUUUACAGUCAUAGACCUAAAGGACGCAUAUUUUCAUGUUACGAUUCAUCACAAUCACAGAAAAUACCUGAGAUUUAUCACAAACAAACCCCCUCUACAGUAUAUGGCCUUACCCUUCGGUUUAGCAANNNNNNNNNNNNNNNNNNNNNNNNNNNNNNNNNNNNNNNNNNNNNNNNNNNNNNNNNNNNNNNNNNNNNNNNNNNNNNNNNNNNNNNNNNNNNNNNNNNGUUCAGGACACAAACUUCACUAUACACACUUUGCAAAGUCUAGGUCUCACCAUAAACUGGGACAAGUCAACGCUAGCUCCUUCUCAAGUGAUGUCGUACAUAGGAGCCACUCUGGACUCAAAAAAGGCAAGGCUCUUUCUGCCUGCGGACUGCAUACAAAAGUUACAAAAGGCCUUGCAAGGAUUCCUACCUCAUGCUCUAGUGUCAGCACAUCAGGCCGAACAUCUGCUAGGCCUCAUGGCAUCAACAACUGCUGCCUUACCUCACGCCAGACUGAGGAUGAGGUCACUACAGGCUUGGCUCCUUCAUCACUUCAACCCGUUGUACGACCACCCGAAGAAGCAGUUAAGAGUCACCCCAGAAUUAGCAAGGCAACUGCUGUGGUGGGGUUUUCGACCACAUCUUCUAAUGGGCCGACUUUUUCGACCACUGCGCCUAUCGGUUCAAGUUACAACAGAUGCGAGCCCCACGGGUUGGGGGGCUCAUUGCAACGGCCACACUGUGAAUGCUUUGUGGGCUGCUCGUCAAAGAGGCCUCCACAUAAACCAUCUAGAGUUGCUAGCAGUGAUAAAAGCCUUCAAGGCCUUUCUUCCCUUAAUACAGUGUCGUGGUAUGCCAGACAACACCACGACCCUGUUUUAUAUCAACAAACAAGGAGGGACAAGGUCUCUUUCCUUACUUUACCUAACUGUACUGCUCUGGGAAUGGUGUUGUGUCCAUCAUGUGUAUCCAGUGGCCAUUCAUAUAGCUACGACCGAGAACACUCUUGCAGACACUCUAAGCCGUCAAAAAGGUCAGUCCCACGAAUGGGAACUGAACAGCCUCAUGUUUCAACAGUUAUGCAACAGGUGGGGCUAUCCUCAAAUCGACAUGUUCGCUUCUCACAAGAACAGGAAAUGUCAGGCUUAUGCCUCCAGAGCAGGGAAGGGUCCAUCCUCCCUGGGAGACGCCUUCAUGGUCCCUUGGAAGAGACAUCUCAUUUACCUGUUCCCGCCGAUUCCUCUGAUUCAAAGAACCAUAGUGAGGUUGAUCCAACACAAGGCCUCAGCUAUCCUGGUAGCUCCAUUCUGGCCACGCCAACCGUGGUUUCCAGUCCUCCAAGAGAUGGCCACAGACGUCUUCAGGUUGCCGAUGUUGCCGGACCUGCUCUCCAGGGAUUCAGGGUCAAUUCUUCACCCGGAUGUGGAAUCCCUUCACCUGACCGCUUGGAGGAUCUGCCAAAAAUUAAAGAGAUAUUAGAUAAGUCCAGGAAACCUUCCACUAAAUCCUUGUACAAAUACAAAUGGGACAACUUUGUCCGUUUUGCUUCUUCUAAAGAUCUUCAAACAUCUCCUGUUUCUUUGAGAACCUUGUUGAUCUAUUUAAGGCAUUUGUUUGACCUUGGUUUGUCUGUUUCAACUUUGAAAGUUUAUGUGGCUGCUAUAAUUGCUCAUCAGCCUUUUGGUUCACGUUCUGCACGCUUGUUUACCCACCCAACUUUUAAGACUUUUUUUAAAGGACUUAUGAACACUCGUCCACCUGUAAGAGCUCCUAUCCCUCAAUGGUCUCUGACUCUUGUUCUGAAUGCGUUAAUGAAACACCCCUUCGAACCCAUGUCAUCCUGUGAUCUCAAGUUUCUCUCCUUAAAGAACUCUUUUUUUGGUGGCUAUUACGUCUGCCAGAAGAGCCUCUGAGUUGGCAGCUUUAAGGUCAGACUCACCUUAUUUACAAUUCUACAAAGAUAAGGUGGUCCUAUUUCCAGACAUUUCUUUCCUUCCUAAGGUGGUCUCUGAAUUU